rnacentral:rRNA from 1 species
UGAUGCGCGCUACCAUGCAGUCGAGCGAACCUUCGGGUUAGCGGCGGACGGGUGAGUAACGCGUGGGAACGUACCCUCUUCUGCGGGAUAGCCACUGGAAACGGUGAGUAAUACCGCAUACGCCCUUCGGGGGAAAGAUUUAUCGGAGGAGGAUCGGCCCGCGUUGGAUUAGGUAGUUGGUGGGGUAAUGGCCUACCAAGCCUACGAUCCAUAGCUGGUUUUAGAGGAUGAUCAGCCACACUGGGACUGAGACACGGCCCAGACUCCUACGGGAGGCAGCAGUGGGGAAUCUUAGACAAUGGGCGCAAGCCUGAUCUAGCCAUGCCGCGUGAGUGACGAAGGCCUUAGGGUCGUAAAGCUCUUUCGCCAGAGAUGAUAAUGACAGUAUCUGGUAAAGAAACCCCGGCUAACUCCGUGCCAGCAGCCGCGGUAAUACGGAGGGGGUUAGCGUUGUUCGGAAUUACUGGGCGUAAAGCGCACGUAGGCGGAUUGGAAAGUUGGGGGUGAAAUCCCAGGGCUCAACCCUGGAACUGCCUCCAAAACUCCCAGUCUGGAGUUCGAGAGAGGUGAGUGGAAUUCCGAGUGUAGAGGUGAAAUUCGUAGAUAUUCGGAGGAACACCAGUGGCGAAGGCGGCUCACUGGCUCGAUACUGACGCUGAG